rnacentral:rRNA from 1 species
CCUACGGGGGGCAGCAGUGAGGAAUAUUGGUCAAUGGCCGAGAGGCUGAACCAGCCAAGUCGCGUGAGGGAAGAAUGUCCUAUGGAUUGUAAACCUCUUUUGUCAGGGAGUAAAGUCACCCACGUGUGGGUGUUGGAGAGUACCUUAAGAAAAAGCAUCGGCUAACUCCGUGCCAGCAGCCGCGGUAAUACGUAGGGAGCAAGCGUUGUCCGGAAUUACUGGGCGUAAAGGGCGCGUAGGUGGGUUCUUAAGUCAGGUGUGAAAACUCUGGGCUCAACCUGGAGACUGCACUUGAAACUGGGUAUCUUGAGUGCAGGAGAGGAAAGUGGAAUUCCUAGUGUAGCGGUGAAAUGCGUAGAUAUUAGGAGGAACACCAGUGGCGAAGGCGACUUUCUGGACUGUACCUGACGCUGAGGCGCGAAAGCGUGGGUAGCGAACGGGAUUAGAUACCCCAGUAGUC